rnacentral:rRNA from 1 species
AGCGAACGCUGGCGGCAGGCUUAACACAUGCAAGUCGAGCGGACGUAGCAAUACGUUAGCGGCAGACGGGUGAGUAACACGUGGGAACGUGCCCUUUGGUUCGGGAUAACCCAGGGAAACCUGGGCUAAUACCGGAUAAGCCCUUACGGGGAAGAUUUAUCGCCAAAGGAUCGGCCCGCGUCUGAUUAGCUAGUUGGUGGGGUAACGGCCCACCAAGGCUACGAUCAGUAGCUAGUCUGAGAGGAUGAUCAGCCACACUGGGACUGAGACACGGCCCAGACUCCUACGGGAGGCAGCAGUGGGGAAUAUUGGACAAU